AGAGUUUGAUCCUGGCUCAGGACGAACGCUGACGGCGUGCUUAACACAUGCAAGUCGAACGGGAUCCAUUAGCGCUUUUGUGUUUUUGGUGAGAGUGGCGAACGGGUGAGUAACACGUGAGUAACCUGCCCUUUUCUUUGGGAUAAGCCUGGGAAACUGGGUCUAAUACUGGAUGUUCCGGCUUCCUCGCAUGGGGUUGUUGGGAAAGGUUUUUUCUGGAUUGGGAUGGGCUCGCGGCUUAUCAGCUUGUUGGUGGGGUGAUGGCUUACCAAGGCUUUGACGGGUAGCCGGCCUGAGAGGGUGGUCGGUCACACUGGGACUGAGAUACGGCCCAGACUCCUACGGGAGGCAGCAGUGGGGGAUAUUGCACAAUGGACGAAAGUCUGAUGCAGCGACGUCGUGUGGGGGAUGAAGGCCUUCGGGUUGUAAACUCCUUUCGCCCGCGGAAAAGGCAGGGUUUUGGCCUUGUUGAUGGUAGUGGGUAAAGAAGCGCCGGCUAACUACGUGCCAGCAGCCGCGGUAAUACGUAGGGCGCGAGCGUUGUCCGGAAUUAUUGGGCGUAAAGGGCUCGUAGGCGGUUUGUCGCGUCUAGCGUUUAAGGCUCGGGCUUAACCCGGGUUUGCGUUGGGUACGGGCAGGCUUGAGUGCGGUAGGGGUAACUGGAAUUCCUGGUGUAGCGGUGGAAUGCGCAGAUAUCAGGAGGAACACCGGUGGCGAAGGCGGGUUACUGGGCCGUUACUGACGCUGAGGAGCGAGAGCGUGGGGAGCGAACAGGAUUAGAUACCCUGGUAGUCCAUGCUGUAAACGUUGGGCACUAGGUGUGGGGGCUGGUUUCAUGGUUUCCGCGCCGUAGCUAACGCAUUAAGUGCCCCGCCUGGGGAGUACGGCCGCAAGGCUAAAACUCAAAGGAAUUGACGGGGGCCCGCACAAGCGGCGGAGCAUGCGGAUUAAUUCGAUGCAACGCGAAGAACCUUACCAAGGCUUGACAUGCACCGCGAGACUGCAGAGAUGUGGUUGCCUUCGGGGUGGUGUGCAGGUGGUGCAUGGUUGUCGUCAGCUCGUGUCGUGAGAUGUUGGGUUAAGUCCC
rnacentral:rRNA from 1 species